rnacentral:rRNA from 1 species
UACGUAGGCAGCGAGCGUUGUUCGGAAUUACUGGGCGUAUAGAGUGUGUAGGCGGUGCUCCCAGUCUGUUGUGAAAUCUCCCGGCUUAACUGGGAGGGUGCAGCGGAAACUAGAGUGCUAGAGGGUGGGAGAGGUAAGCGGAAUUCCUGGUGUAGCGGUGAAAUGCGUAGAUAUCUGGAGGAAUACCGGUGGCGAAGGCGGCAUCCUGGACCGGCAUUGACGCUGAUGAGCGAAAGCUAGGGGAGCAAACGGG